rnacentral:rRNA from 1 species
AUACGGAAGGUCCGGGCGUUAUCCGGAUUUAUUGGGUUUAAAGGGUGCGCAGGCGGCCCGGUAAGUCUGGAGUGAAAGUCCUGUUUUUAAGAUGGGAAUUGCUUUGGAUACUGUCGGGCUUGAGUGCAGGAGAGGUAAGUGGAAUUCCCAGUGUAGCGGUGAAAUGCGUAGAGAUUGGGAGGAACACCAGUGGCGAAGGCGACUUACUGGACUGUAACUGACGCUGAGGCGCGAAAGUGUGGGGAGCAAACAGGAUUAGAUACCCUGGUAGUCCACACUGUAAACGAUGAAUGCUAGGUGUAGGGGGUAUCGACCCCUUCUGUGCCGCAGUCAACACAAAAAGCAUUCCGCCUGGGGAGUACGGCCGCAAGGUUGAAACUCAAAUGAAUUGACGGGG